GACACCCGCCGCCACACAAAGGCGCUGCUUCUUGGCGGCCAGCGGGGGCUGAGUCUAGGCCCGGCAGGGUUUUCUGGAAGACCAGACGGCCACCAGGUCACCGAGGUGGGAAGGGAAGAGAGGUUCGACGCUGCCUCAGGCCUGGGCCUGGCCGGUGGGAGACACAGCAAGGACUCUGGGAGCCCGCAGAGCAGAGGCCGCUGCGGGGCGGGGCCCCCGCCUCCUCCUCAGGUCCAAGACCAGAGGGUCUGCAGGGCCCCAGAGCAGCCGGCCGCGCUCCGCUUCCCACCGCGCUCUCUGCCGGAACUCAUGUGGUUGUUUAUCCUUGUUUUGCUGAAUUUCUUUAUUUGCUGUAACAGUUUGUGUGUGUGUGUGUUUGACUGUGUGUUUGUAAUUUUCAGGGUUUUCUAUAUAUAAAAAUCAUGUCACGGCCGGGCUUGGUGGCUCACACCUGUAAUCCCAGCACUUUGGGAGGCCAAGGUAGGAGGAUCGCCUGAGCCCAGGAGUUCGAGACCAGCCCGGGCAACAUAGCGAGACCCUAGUCUCUAAAAUUUUUUUUAUUAGCCGGGCGUGGUGGCAGGAGCCUGUGGUCCCAGCUACUCCGGAAGAUGAGGCAGGGUAAUCGCUUGAACCAGGGAAGUCGAGGCCGCAGUGAGGCAUAAUUGCUCCGCUGCACCCCAGCCUGGGUGACAAAGAGAGAUCCCAUCUCUCUCUCAAAAAAAGUCAUGUUAUCUGUGAACAUAGAUAAUUUUACUUUUUCCUUGCCAAUACUGUGCUGAAUAACAUGGUGAAAGUGGGCACCCAUUAUUCCUGAUUGUAGGAGAAAAUUUUUCAGUCUUUCGCUGUUGAGAAUGAUAUUAGUUGUAUGUUUUUCAUAAUUGGGCAUUAUCAAGUUGAGGAAGUUUCCUUCUAUUCCUGGUUUAAAUUGUAUGUGUGUGUGUGUGUGUGUGUGUGUGUGUGUGUUUUGUUUGUUUGUUUGUUUGUUUUGACAGGGUCUUGCUCUGUCUCCCAAGCUGGAGUGCAGUGGCCACGAUCUCGGCUCACUACAACUUGGACCUCCAGGGCUCAAGCAAUCCUCCGACUUCAUCCUGCCAAGUAGCGAGGACCAUAGGCGUACAACACCACAUUUAGAAGUCCCUGAGAAAAUUAUCUUGGAGGAAAACUCGCAAGUCCGACUAUUGGUUUUCCAAGGAAGCCAGUCUCGCCUGUGAGGAGGGAUUCUGCUCGCCCUGGGCGCCUACUCAGACACCAUGGGGAAUGGGGGGUGGGGCUCAGAGCGCGCAGGCUUGAUUUUUUUCCCCCUCCGAACUCCUGAGUUCCAGUGAUCUGCCUGACUCAGCCUCCCACAGUGCUGGGAUUACAGGUGUGAGCCACCGCACCUGGCAAAAAGGUGCUGAAUUUUGUCAAGUACUUUUUCUGUAUCAGUUAAGAUGAUUAUAGUUUUUUUUUUUUCCCUUCAUUCAGUUAAUGUGGUAUAUAUUGCAUUGACUUUUGUGUGCUGAAUCAUCCUCACAUUCCAGGAACAAAUCCUACUUGGUUAUGGUGUAUAAACCUUUCAAUAUUUUGCUAAAUUCAGUUUGCUAGUAUUUUGUUGAGGAAUUUUGUGUGAAUUGAGGGAUAUUGGUCAGUAGUUUUCAUUUUCUGUAAUGUCUCUAGCUUUGGUAUCAGGAUAAUGCUAGCCUCAUAAAAUGAGUCGGAAAUAUUCCCUCCUCUUUGAUUUUGUGGAAGAAUGUGAGAAAGAUGGGUGUUAAUUCUUUAAAUUUGGUAGAAUUCAAUAGUGAAGCCAUCUGGUUCUGGACUUCUCUUUGUUGGGAUAUUACUGAUUACUUCUUCAAUAUUUUUACUAGUUAUAGGUCUAUUCAGAUUUCUGCUUAUUUAUGAUUAAAUUUUGGUAGAUUGUGUGCUUUUAGGAGGUUGUCCACUUCAUCUAGGUUUUCCAAUUUGCUGGCAUAUAGUUGUCCAUAGUAUUCUUUAAUAAUCCUUUUUUAUUUCUGCAAAAUUGGUAGUAAUGUCUCCACUUUAAUUUCUGAGUUUAGUAAUCUGAGUCUUCUUUUCCUCUUAGUCAAUCUUGCUAAAUGUUUGUCAAUUUCAGUGAACUUUUCAAAGAGCCAACUUUUGGUUUCAUUUGUUUUCUUCAUUGUUUCCGGUCUGUCCUUCCUGAUGGCCUGCCUUUUCUAACAGCCUGUCCUAUGGAUUUAGCACUUACUAGGCAGCCCACAGUUGCAUCAGCCAAUUCCUUGUUCAGAAAAUCAAUCUCUCCCUCAUAUAAAUAUCUAUCUUGAUGAUUCUACUUAAACUGAACAUACCCACCUAACCAGCACAUGGCUCAACAGCAUCUCCAGUUCUUUUCUAGUCACUACCCACUCUUCCCAGAGGGAACCACUGUUCUGACUUCUAACAGCUGAAGGGAGUCUUGCUAGCUUUGUAAUUUAAAUCAAUGGAACCACAGAGUGCGUCCCCUUUUGUGUCUGUUUUAUUUUGGUCAAGUUUGUGAGGUUCAUACAUAUAGUUGUAGAUUGUUCUUUCUUAUUGGAACUGAUUAUUCUAUGCAAACUUAUUCAUGUGAUGGCUAGCACUUGGGAUGUCUCUAGUUCUUUUGGGUAUUAUGAAUAGGUUGCUGGGCAAUCUAGUAAAUAUAUUUGGUGAACACAGCUACUUAUUUGUGGUAGGCAAAUAUCAAUCAGGAUGUGAUAUUGUUGAUUUUAAGAAGUGAAAAGUCUGAGAGAUAUGAAAGGAUUACAGGCAAAAAAAAAAAAAAAAAAAAUGUGAACAGGAAAUGUUUCCAAACAUGGAUUGUCCGGACAUACACAUAAUAUCCUCCACUUGGAGGGAAUUCUACCCACAUGUUUCCAUGGUAUAGUAGUUAUCACACUUGCCUAACACACAAAAGGUCCUUAGUUCAGAACUGGGUGGAAACAUUGCACUUUUUCCUCACUCCUAGAUAUCAAACACAUAAAACAACUUAUAUUCUCCCUCCUUCAUCCAGAGCCAUCUCAAGAACCUCUGUUCUCCUUCCUUUGUCCUGAGCAAGCUGAAGCUCUCAUCACCAGCACCCUCCUCUCCGGCCAUGCUCUGCAAUUGCCUGCCUGCUCUGAGCCCCACCCCACUUUCCCAUGGUGUCUAUCUGAGUAGGCACCUGGGGCGUGCAGGACCCUGCCUCGCCAAUGAGACUGGCUUCCUUAAGACACCAAGAGUUGGACUUGCGAGUUUUCGUCCAAGAUAAUUUUCUCAGGGAUUUCUAAGAAGGAAGAGGGUUCCACUUUCAGCAAAGCAGAGAAUUGGAUAAUCUAUUGUCUGCUCUUUACCCCUAAGCACAGAGAGGAUUUUCACAAAAUAGGUCUAGGGGUCAGAAAUCUGCAAUCAAUUUCAGUGGACCAAAAUGAAAAUGUCAAACAGGGUGUCUGACACCCUCCAGAAGCACCAGAGGAGAAGCAGCUUUCCUUGGCCUUUCCAGCCAAAUCUCCCUCUGCCUCUCUCCCCUGGUGACGACAAUGGCUGGGGUCUUGACUUGCCAAG